UACAGAGGUCUCGAGCGUUGUUCGGAUUCAUUGGGCGUAAAGGGUGCGUAGGUGGCGCUGUAAGUCGGGUGUGAAAUCCUGAGGCUUAACCUCGGAACUGCAUUCGAUACUGCGGCGCUUGAGGACUGGAGAGGAGACUGGAAUUCAUGGUGUAGCGGUGAAAUGCGUAGAUAUCGGAAGGAACAUCAGUGGCGAAAGCGGGUCUCUGGGCCGUAACUGACGCUGAGGAGCGAAAGCAUGGGGAGCGAACAGG
rnacentral:rRNA from 1 species